GGAUGAAAUGCUCUUUUAGUAAUUUUCCAGCAGGACUCUUAUAAAGAGAGUCCCAC
ensembl:snRNA U7 U7 small nuclear RNA